GGUUUGAUCCUGGCUCAGAUUGAACGCUGGCGGCAGGCUUAACACAUGCAAGUCGAGCGGGGGAAAGUAGCUUGCUACUAGACCUAGCGGCGGACGGGUGAGUAAUGCUUAGGAACCUGCCUAUUAGUGGGGGACAACAUUCCGAAAGGAAUGCUAAUACCGCAUACGUCCUACGGGAGAAAGCAGGGGACCUUCGGGCCUUGCGCUAAUAGAUGAGCCUAAGUCGGAUUAGCUAGUUGGUGGGGUAAAGGCCUACCAAGGCGACGAUCUGUAGCGGGUCUGAGAGGAUGAUCCGCCACACUGGGACUGAGACACGGCCCAGACUCCUACGGGAGGCAGCAGUGGGGAAUAUUGGACAAUGGGGGGAACCCUGAUCCAGCCAUGCCGCGUGUGUGAAGAAGGCCUUAUGGUUGUAAAGCACUUUAAGCGAGGAGGAGGCUACUAGUAUUAAUACUACUGGAUAGUGGACGUUACUCGCAGAAUAAGCACCGGCUAACUCUGUGCCAGCAGCCGCGGUAAUACAGAGGGUGCGAGCGUUAAUCGGAUUUACUGGGCGUAAAGCGUGCGUAGGCGGCCAUUUAAGUCAAAUGUGAAAUCCCCGAGCUUAACUUGGGAAUUGCAUUCGAUACUGGAUGGCUAGAGUAUGGGAGAGGAUGGUAGAAUUCCAGGUGUAGCGGUGAAAUGCGUAGAGAUCUGGAGGAAUACCGAUGGCGAAGGCAGCCAUCUGGCCUAACACUGACGCUGAGGUACGAAAGCAUGGGGAGCAAACAGGAUUAGAUACCCUGGUAGUCCAUGCCGUAAACGAUGUCUACUAGCCGUUGGGGCCUUUGAGGCUUUAGUGGCGCAGCUAACGCGAUAAGUAGACCGCCUGGGGAGUACGGUCGCAAGACUAAAACUCAAAUGAAUUGACGGGGGCCCGCACAAGCGGUGGAGCAUGUGGUUUAAUUCGAUGCAACGCGAAGAACCUUACCUGGCCUUGACAUACUAGAAACUUUCCAGAGAUGGAUUGGUGCCUUCGGGAAUCUAGAUACAGGCGCUGCAUG
rnacentral:rRNA from 1 species